AAAAUCUUAGGUUAUUUUUAAACCUUUAUCGUUCAAAGAUAAUAAUAUCUAUGGGUAGAUUUUG
rnacentral:tRNA from 1 species